GUUACAGAAUUCUGUUUUGCUGUUAUUGCAAAUAAUGAAAGGAACUUUCGAGAAUCUUUGGCGUUAAUAGUUUAAUACCUUGUUGAAAAGUUUAAAUGGAUAUCAAGAGGCAAAUCAAUUUAAUCUAAUUUUUUUUAGAUAUGCGAAUCCAUGUGAUCCUCCAACUGUCUUUCUUGAAUUUGAUUCAUUAGAUCGAAAAUAGUGGCAGGAUUUCCAGUUGUCAGGUACCUCGUUGAAAAGUUUAAAUGGAUCUCACGAGCCACACCAAUUUAAUCUAAUUUUCUUUAGAUAUGCGAAUCCGUGUGGUCCUCCAGCUUUCUUUCCUAAAUUUGAUUAAUUAGAUUGAAAAUAGUGACAGGAUUUUUACUUGUAAGGUACGCUACUUCACUUCUGUGUGUUUCUUUUUACUCAACAGGUACCUUGU